AUUGAACGCUGGCGGCAGGCCUAACACAUGCAAGUCGAGCGGAUGAAGGGAGCUUGCUCCUGGAUUCAGCGGCGGACGGGUGAGUAAUGCCUAGGAAUCUGCCUGGUAGUGGGGGAUAACGUGCGGAAACGGGGGCUAAUACCGCAUACGUCCUGAGGGAGAAAGGGGGGGAUCUUCGGACCUCACGCUAUCAGAGGAGCCUAGGUCGGAUUAGCUAGUUGGUGGGGUAAAGGCCUACCAAGGCGACGAUCCGUAACUGGUCUGAGAGGAUGAUCAGUCACACUGGAACUGAGACACGGUCCAGACUCCUACGGGAGGCAGCAGUGGGGAAUAUUGGACAAUGGGCGCAAGCCUGAUCCAGCCAUGCCGCGUGUGUGAAGAAGGUCUUCGGAUUGUAAAGCGCUUUUAUUUGGGAAGAAGGGCUGUAAGUUAAUACCCUGCUGUUUUGACGUUACCAACAGAAUAAGCACCGGCUAACUUCGUG
rnacentral:rRNA from 1 species